rnacentral:sRNA from 1 species
AUUCUGCCCAAGCGGGGAAGGAUGAGAAGCUUCGACUAAGGUUCGACUCGAGCGCCAGCGAGAGAGCGUUGCCGCAGG